UGUCAAAUAAAGUGUUGUACAUGAAGUUCUGCAUGUUAUACAGUAAAUUCUAUUUUUAUGGACAAAAAAACAGAAAGAAAACCAUCCAUCUAUAUCUAAGAUGAUUCAUCCUAGAGGACAUCACAGGCACAAACUGACCCCUUUGCCCUGCAUAUUCUCAAAUCUCUCAUAUACGGAAGACCCAGUGAGCACCAGUUUACUGUGCCGGGCAGGAAACGAGUCCAACUCCCACAAAAGUAAGAAAUCAAACAACAAUCUAAUUAUACUAAAUAGAUACUAAUUAUACUAAUUAUUAUUAUUAUUUUUUUUGCUAGAAUCUAUGUUGAGAAUGCUUCCUGUCGCACCCAGUGCUAUGGAGGAGCAAUGGCAUGAACUCCAGCACGAGACAGACUUCCACCCUGGAAGUUACUGUCCAAAAGUUCAGAUGCCUUAUGUUUGCCCUCCAGGACAUGUGCCCCGUAAGAUUGAGAUUGAGAGGUGAGUGGUUCAGAUAAACAUCUUACGCAAAUGCUUCUCAACUGUUGGCUCACAACCCAAAAAUGAGCCCCAGGUGUGUUUUGCUAAGCAAAUUAGAUGCCAGCAAAGACAGGAUGCUUGACAUGUUUUAUCAUUAAAAAAAAAAAGAAAAAUAAUGCCAGGUUAAAGAAAAUAGUCACUUGAAAAGAGGGUCAACGUGUCCUCAAGGUGUGUUGUGCUGUAAAUAGUCAAUUGUUGAGAUUUUUAUAAUUUAAAAAUACAGUACAGUUCAAAUGUUUUUUCAAGAAAUUUAUAUUUCUAAUCAGCCAGGAUUUAUUUAAUUGGUGGAUACUGGUUUCUGUUUUAAUUCCCAGACGUAGGAGGGAGUAUCAGAAGUUGGAUAUCAAUAAUCUUUUGGCAGAGCGAGGCAUUUAUAACAACCAGCUGAUGCUCAAAAACAAGACGAUUCCACCAGUUUCAAACUACCUGUCUCUGGAGGUCAUGCAUGUUCUUGUAUACUGUUUUAAUGAAAUAUUUAUGAAAUAUUCAUAUUUUAAUGUCCCAGUUUGCUUGUGGCUUUUUCCUUCAUUUUGGUGUCCACAUACUGUAGAUGCUUCAGUUUAAAAUCCUGCAUCUUUCUGUUUCAUUGGCAGUAUAAUUGUGUGUUUUGUACAAGUGGCUCAUUUUGUGUCUAAAUUGCUUUGUGUAACACCAGAUAUUUGACAAUGAGGACUUUGACUGCCGUACUCCAGAGGAAUGGCUGGCUUUAGGUUACGAGCAAGGCUCCAUCGACCGCAAACCUGUUCCUGCCAAAGCCCUGUUGCCGACAAAAAACAGCAUCCCACCUGGUACAGUGCUGUCUAAACCCUCUGGAAAUACCUGACAUAUUGUAGUCGAAUGGAUCCCAUCAUUUGUCUUGUAGUUCAUUCUGAAAAUAAAUUAAUCUUAUAGCCCAUCC
rnacentral:lncRNA from 12 species